UACAGAGGGGGCAAGCGUUGUUCGGAAUUACUGGGCGUAAAGGGCGCGUAGGCGGCCUGCUAAGUCGAACGUGAAAUCCCUGGGCUCAACCCAGGAACUGCGUCCGAUACUGGUUGGCUUGAAUCCGGGAGAGGGACGUGGAAUUCCAGGUGUAGCGGUGAAAUGCGUAGAUAUCUGGAGGAACACCGGUGGCGAAGGCGACGUCCUGGACCGGCAUUGACGCUGAGGCGCGAAAGCGUUGGGGAGCAAACAGG
rnacentral:rRNA from 1 species